rnacentral:rRNA from 1 species
GGUCAAGUGAAGAAGCGCAUACGGUGGAUGCCUUGGCAGUCAGAGGCGAUGAAAGACGUGGUAGCCUGCGAAAAGCUUCGGGGAGUCGGCAAACAGACUUUGAUCCGGAGAUCUCUGAAUGGGGGAACCCACCUAGGAUAACCUAGGUAUCUUGUACUGAAUCCAUAGGUGCAAGAGGCGAACCAGGGGAACUGAAACAUCUAAGUACCCUGAGGAAAAGAAAUCAACCGAGAUUCCCUUAGUAGUGGCGAGCGAACGGGGAUUAGCCCUUAAGCUUCAUUGAUUUUAGCGGAACGCUCUGGAAAGUGCGGCCAUAGUGGGUGAUAGCCCCGUACGCGAAAGGAUCUUUGAAGUGAAAUCGAGUAGGACGGAGCACGAGAAACUUUGUCUGAACAUGGGGGGACCAUCCUCCAAGGCUAAAUACUACUGACUGACCGAUAGUGAACCAGUACCGUGAGGGAAAGGCGAAAAGAACCCCGGAGAGGGGAGUGAAAUAGAACCUGAAACCGUAUGCGUACAAGCAGUGGGAGCCUACUUGUUAGGUGACUGCGUACCUUUUGUAUAAUGGGUCAGCGACUUAUAUUCAGUGGCAAGCUUAACCGUAUAGGGUAGGCGUAGCGAAAGCGAGUCUUAAUAGGGCGUUUAGUCGCUGGGUAUAGACCCGAAACCGGGCGAUCUAUCCAUGAGCAGGUUGAAGGUUAGGUAACACUGACUGGAGGACCGAACCCACUCCCGUUGAAAAGGUAGGGGAUGACUUGUGGAUCGGAGUGAAAGGCUAAUCAAGCUCGGAAAUAGCUGGUUCUCCUCGAAAGCUAUUUAGGUAGCGCCUCAUGUAUCACUCUGGGGGGUAGAGCACUGUUUCGGCUAGGGGGUCAUCCCGACUUACCAAACCGAUGCAAACUCCGAAUACCCAGAAGUGCCGAGCAUGGGAGACACACGGCGGGUGCUAACGUCCGUCGUGAAAAGGGAAACAACCCAGACCGCCAGCUAAGGUCCCAAAGUUGUGGUUAAGUGGUAAACGAUGUGGGAAGGCUUAGACAGCUAGGAGGUUGGCUUAGAAGCAGCCAUCCUUUAAAGAAAGCGUAAUAGCUCACUAGUCGAGUCGGCCUGCGCGGAAGAUGUAACGGGGCUCAAACCACACACCGAAGCUGCGGGUGUCACGUAAGUGACGCGGUAGAGGAGCGUUCUGUAAGCCUGUGAAGGUGAGUUGAGAAGCUUGCUGGAGGUAUCAGAAGUGCGAAUGCUGACAUGAGUAACGACAAUGGGUGUGAAAAACACCCACGCCGAAAGACCAAGGGUUCCUGCGCAACGUUAAUCGACGCAGGGUUAGUCGGUUCCUAAGGCGAGGCUGAAAAGCGUAGUCGAUGGGAAACAGGUUAAUAUUCCUGUACUUCUGGUUACUGCGAUGGAGGGACGGAGAAGGCUAGGCCAGCUUGGCGUUGGUUGUCCAAGUUUAAGGUGGUAGGCUGAAAUCUUAGGUAAAUCCGGGGUUUCAAGGCCGAGAGCUGAUGACGAGUCGUCUUUUAGAUGACGAAGUGGUUGAUGCCAUGCUUCCAAGAAAAGCUUCUAAGCUUCAGGUAACCAGGAACCGUACCCCAAACCGACACAGGUGGUCGGGUAGAGAAUACCAAGGCGCUUGAGAGAACUCGGGUGAAGGAACUAGGCAAAAUGGCACCGUAACUUCGGGAGAAGGUGCGCCGGCUAGGGUGAAGGAUUUACUCCGUAAGCUCUGGCUGGUCGAAGAUACCAGGCCGCUGCGACUGUUUAUUAAAAACACAGCACUCUGCAAACACGAAAGUGGACGUAUAGGGUGUGACGCCUGCCCGGUGCCGGAAGGUUAAUUGAUGGGGUUAGCGCAAGCGAAGCUCUUGAUCGAAGCCCCGGUAAACGGCGGCCGUAACUAUAACGGUCCUAAGGUAGCGAAAUUCCUUGUCGGGUAAGUUCCGACCUGCACGAAUGGCGUAACGAUGGCGGCGCUGUCUCCACCCGAGACUCAGUGAAAUUGAAAUCGCUGUGAAGAUGCAGUGUAUCCGCGGCUAGACGGAAAGACCCCGUGAACCUUUACUGUAGCUUUGCACUGGACUUUGAGCCUGCUUGUGUAGGAUAGGUGGGAGGCUUUGAAGCGUGGACGCCAGUUCGCGUGGAGCCAUCCUUGAAAUACCACCCUGGCAUGCUUGAGGUUCUAACUCUGGUCCGUAAUCCGGAUCGAGGACAGUGUAUGGUGGGCAGUUUGACUGGGGCGGUCUCCUCCUAAAGAGUAACGGAGGAGUACGAAGGUGCGCUCAGACCGGUCGGAAAUCGGUCGCAGAGUAUAAAGGCAAAAGCGCGCUUGACUGCGAGACAGACACGUCGAGCAGGUACGAAAGUAGGUCUUAGUGAUCCGGUGGUUCUGUAUGGAAGGGCCAUCGCUCAACGGAUAAAAGGUACUCCGGGGAUAACAGGCUGAUACCGCCCAAGAGUUCAUAUCGACGGCGGUGUUUGGCACCUCGAUGUCGGCUCAUCACAUCCUGGGGCUGAAGCCGGUCCCAAGGGUAUGGCUGUUCGCCAUUUAAAGUGGUACGCGAGCUGGGUUUAGAACGUCGUGAGACAGUUCGGUCCCUAUCUGCCGUGGACGUUUGAGAUUUGAGAGGGGCUGCUCCUAGUACGAGAGGACCGGAGUGGACGAACCUCUGGUGUUCCGGUUGUCACGCCAGUGGCAUUGCCGGGUAGCUAUGUUCGGAAAAGAUAACCGCUGAAAGCAUCUAAGCGGGAAACUUGCCUCAAGAUGAGAUCUCACUGGGAACUUGAUUCCCCUGAAGGGCCGUCGAAGACUACGACGUUGAUAGGCUGGGUGUGUAAGCGUUGUGAGGCGUUGAGCUAACCAGUACUAAUUGCCCGUGAGGCUUGACCAU